rnacentral:rRNA from 1 species
UAUGAACGCUGGCGGCAGGCCUAACACAUGGCAAGUACGAGCGGAAACGAGUUAACUGAACCUUCGGGGGACGUUAACGGCGUCGAGCGGCGGACGGGUGAGUAAUGCCUGGGAAAUUGCCCUGAUGUGGGGGAUAACCAUUGGAAACGAUGGCUAAUACCGCAUAAUAGCUUCGGCUCAAAGAGGGGGACCUUCGGGCCUCUCGCGUCAGGAUAUGCCCAGGUGGGAUUAGCUAGUUGGUGAGGUAAUGGCUCACCAAGGCGACGAUCCCUAGCUGGUCUGAGAGGAUGAUCAGCCACACUGGAACUGAGACACGGUCCAGACUCCUACGGGAGGCAGCAGUGGGGAAUAUUGCACAAUGGGCGCAAGCCUGAUGCAGCCAUGCCGCGUGUGUGAAGAAGGCCUUCGGGUUGUAAAGCACUUUCAGCNGUGAGGAAGGUAGUGUCGUUAAUAGCUGCAUUAUUUGACGUUAGCUGCAGAAGAAGCACCGGCUAACUCCGUGCCAGCAGCCGCGGUAAUACGGAGGGUGCGAGCGUUAAUCGGAAUUACUGGGCGUAAAGCGCAUGCAGGUGGUUAGUUAAGUCAGAUGUGAAAGCCCGGGGCUCAACCUCGGAACUGCAUUUGAAACUGGCUGACUAGAGUACUGUAGAGGGGGGGUAGAAUUUCAGGUGUACCGGUGA